GACUGAGUGGCAUUUUACACAUGUGUACAUGGCGACUACUACCUUAGACUGCAGUCAAUUCUGCUCUGGCUGGAACCACAGCUUUGUGUCUUCACAACCACACCUGAAGUGUCACCACGCCAACACUCUGAUGUACUGUUCACUGCACCUUUGCCUACUUUCAGGAUAAGCUGACAUGAGUGGAUUUCCUUCUGCCCUCAAAAGGACUCCGUGAAUAUUUGGGGAGCUCCUGAACUCCACUACACGGACAAUCUGUUAAGGCUUUCUCCCCGCCCUUUGGCUUCAUGUGGAAAGCAGAUUAAUGAGUGGUUAAUGCUGGCAGAGAUUGAGGUAGAAUUCCCCAGUGGGAUGCAAGGUGAAAGAAGGGAAUUUUGAAGAGGAGUUUGAAGGAUUAGGGCGACUGUCACAAUGGAAAAGAGCCAGAUGCUGUGAAGAAGGGAAUGAGCAAACAGGGGAUGUGAGAGCAGAACACUACUGCUGAGUUUGCUAACAAGACUGAUCAAUACAUUGCAUUGCCCAACAGAUGUACAUCAUCACUGGAGCCAGCAGAAGGGAUAGAAAUAAGAGGAUUAUGACACAGGAUAUUAGAGAUGGAUAGAGUGAAGCACACCUAAAGCGAAGCCAUUUCCUCCCCCUAUGACCCUAACUGGGAUGGAGACAUGCACAUUGCAAAGCAAUGUGAAGUGCAAUGAAUGAAUUGUCCUGUUGUCUGUCAAUGUUUUGACUAAAUUAAAGUUUGCUAUAUACAGUCCCAAGAUAU